rnacentral:rRNA from 1 species
AGUCACUGACAUUAGAUACCCCCGUAGUCCCAGCCGUAAACAAUGUGCGUUAGGUGUGUCGGUAACCACGCGUUACUGAUGCGCCGAAGAGAAAUCGUGAAACGUGCCGCCUGGGAAGUACGGUCGCAAGGCUGAAACUUAAAGGAAUUGGCGGGGAGCACCACAACAGGUGGAGCCUGCGGUUUAAUUGGACUCAACGCCGGGAAGCUCACCGGAUUGGACAGCAGAAUGAUUGCCGGGCUGAAGACCCUGCAUGACUAGCUG